CAGAUGGGAAAGACAGGAGACAUUCGUUAGAUUGCUUUGCAAUGCCACCUUUGGCUUUUGCAAAGAGAAAAAUGACAGAUAUCAGAAGUAGCUUUGCAUUAAGAAGGUUGGACGCAAACCAACAGAUGCAAACUGCAAGACAAAUGAUUUGGAAUAAAUAUUGCGAAGAACCCCUUUGAUGGAACAGUGGAACAGAAGGCCUCUGAAGCUCAGCUCCAAGCCAACAGCAUUCAAGGCUUUGCCUGUCAAGGUCUACUGUAAUACCAGAACAGAUCAACAACUACUUGCUGCCAGACAACACUUGGAGCCCGGAGGCUGGAUAGGUGACUGUUCCCCAUUCUGUUCCUUUAUUGUUUCUGAAUUUUGAUUUAACUGCAUUCUGUUACUCUGCUAAUCCUUAAUUCUCUUUUAAGUAGAAUAAUACUUUUCACCAUCAGAUAAUUUGCACCUUUAUCUUUGUACAGUACUAAUGUGCACAAGCAUAUUGAGAAAAACACAGCAAAAAAUGCAGUCUUGGUCUAAUUGUACAUAAUAUGAUUGCACUGAGAUUCUUUGGUGUGGUGUUUUACAAAAAACCUACAGUGUGAAUACAUCAAUGUACAGAAGGGCUAAAUAUGUGAGGGUCAUGCUGAGCCCCAAGAUUCUCCUUGUAUCUGCAGUAGCUUUUUUUUAAAAUAAUAAUAAUAAUAAUAAUCCAGUCUGUUUCUGAGUCCAUCUAUGCUCCCUCCACUUUGAUCUAUAAUUCAGAUUCUGAGCUGUUCUAUGUAAAAUAAAGCUGUGUUUCCCGUUCAGCAUAAUGGGGAAUCUAACAAAUGACUAUAAUUCCUUCCCCCACUUUUGGCCAAAGUGAAUGAAAAGAAUAGGCACAGGAGGUCCUCCAGAAUAGAUUUAAGCCUUCUAAAUUGCAGACAAAUAUGUUCAGGGUCAUUUUGAAGGCGAAGUUAAAGGAAUUCAAUUUCAUAAUCCCUCAGGAGGAAGAGGGUGGGGCUUUAUCUUUUGCUUUUUCUUAUCUUACAAUAACGAACAGGGGCUCAGCGGUGUGAGUUGUUCCUUGCACAUUUAUUUAUUUAAGCUUUACAUUGACCCUUUCCUUCCAGUGCUUGUAUGUGUCUUCCAACAUGCUUUACAAUGUGAGGCUGUCUAGAAUGCUGUCUGCAGAGUUCUGAAGAUCUCUGAUGGGUUUCUUAGUUAAAGCAGAGCUUGUAGGAUUUUUUUUUAGCAAACUUAAAUGCUGUUAACUGGUUGUUUUUUUAAUAUAAAAAACCCACAUCUGCUGCUGUGCUUUAAACUCCCCCCCCCAAAUCUUCAGUACCUUGUAGGCAUCAUUUUGGAAAGGUUCUCCAGGGCUCAUGGACCUAGAUAAAAAUGAGAUAAAUGGAAACAAACAAUCAUAUAUUGAAGAAAAGGACAGAAGUUUCUUGGGAGGUGGGAAAGACCCCCAAAUCACUCAAAUUUGCCUUGUUAUUGCCCCCACCCAGAGCUGAUGAUGCACCCUUAAAAUAUAUGAAAGGACUGAAUGUUGAGGCAAACAGCUCAUGUACAAUGUUCCUUACAAACUUUCGGAAAUAUUAAAAAAUAAAUGAAACUAUGUAAGAAUCCUAAUACAUGUUCCAGUUAAAACACUGUAAUUCGGUGAGUAGAAUUUUUGACUCACCCCUAGCUAAGAACAUGAAUCCUGCGAUUACAUGGUUUCUGGGUGUGACAGACUGUAAGUGACAUUGUAGAUUUAAUUUGAAGUGCUGGGGAAAUUGUGUCAUUUAUUUAAUGUCUGUUAGUGCUGAAGGGCUUCGGGACACUUGUGUAUUUUCUCCCUUACUUGCUCCAUGGAAACAUGAGUGUGGAGCUGGAGCAGGCCUACAAAUAUUCUACAAAUAUGCAGAACUACAUAUUUUACCUGUUCCCAUUCUUGACUUCGCUGAGGUAAUGUGAAUAAUGUAUAUAUGUGUGUGUGCGCACACACAUCCCACUCACACACGACCAUGUUUGUGCACUGUGAAAUCAAUCAAUCAAUCAAUCAAUCAAUUGGCCUUGUCUCGCCAGGGGCUGCUGCCCAAGCAAGGGAAGGCAGCCUUUGAUUGAGGCAUGGGGGCAGGAGUUGUCUUCUCUCCACCUCUACCAUAUAUCUGCGCCCCCAUCCUGACAUCAGUUCACCCUUCUUAGCCAUCGCCCUUUGUGGCCAGCCACCACUGCAUGCACUGGCUCCCCUAGGGCAGACGGGGAGGCAGGCAGGCUUGGGAAAGGCCGGGCAGCGGCCCCAAGCGAUUUCCAGUGUGAGCCUCUCUCUCUCUUCUCCAUGCACACUCACUUAUUCACACAGGGCCCCAGAAUGUAACUCCCCACUUAAGUGGAGGGACACUUGUAUUUCAUAAGCCUUCCUGCACAGACUCUACAGGGACAUUUAUCUUUCCACAGAUAUCAUUCUUUUGUACCCAACUUGGGGGGGGGGAUCAAAUCAAUUGAAAUGGAGCGGGCAAUAACGAC